rnacentral:rRNA from 1 species
AUUGAACGCUGGCGGCAGGCUUAACACAUGCAAGUCGAGCGAGCGGCGGACGGGUGAGCAAUGUCUGGGAAACUGCCUGAUGGAGGGGGAUAACUACUGGAAACGGUAGCUAAUACCGCAUACCAUCAGAUGUGCUCUGACGGGAUUAGUUAGUGGGUGGGGUAAUGGCUCACCUAGGCGACGAUCCCUAGCUGGGCUGAGAGGAUGACCAGCCACACUGGAACUGAGACACGGUCCAGACUCCUACGGGAGGCAGCAGUAGGGAAUAUUGCGCAAUGGGCGAAAGCCUGAUGCAGCCAUGCCGCGUGUGUGAAGAAGGCCUUCGGGUUGUAAAGCACUUUCAGCGAGGAGGCGUUACUCGCAGAAGAAGCACCGGCUAACUCCGUGCCAGCAGCCGCGGUAAUUC